AGGACUGCCCGUCUGCCCCCGACUGGCUUGCUCUCUUUCUUUAAAUACACCCGAGUCAAGUAAUCGUAUUCAAAUAUUGGGAUUUGGGAUCUGAGGAAACACGGAGACUGUAACUUAAAAUCGGAGCGGAAACAUGAUACACCGGAAAUGGAGUUUGCUAACUGGCCCAGUAUUCAUCAUCGGCGGCGUCGUGGGAGUCACCGUUCUCGCCCACCUCCUCUUUGUUGACGAUCCGUAUCUUAAUCCAAAGAAGAAGAAUGAUUCACCACCACCAAGCAAGUAGAAAGAAGUCGAUGGCAUUUAGGACUUGUUUUUCUUCAGCAAAAGGUGGCUGUUGGGAACAUGAGUUGUUUGUUCAAUAAUAUCAAAUCUGAUUGUUGUGGUUGCUUCUCUUUUUUCUUUCUUAAAACCACUUGCAUUGAUUCUCAAUAUUAAUGGUAUGUAGAAUAAGUUUCAUAACUAUACUUCAUUUACGAAGAUAAAUAAUAUUUCAGUGCUUUGCCAAAA